AUUUGUGGGUGAGAUGAGCUGAAGGCUGAGACGAAAGGUAUGUCAGAAGGAAAAUGAAAGGAGAUAUAGAUAUUGUCAGGGGUUCAGGGAGAGAGGCACAGAUGAGGGAGGAGACUGAGAGCGAGGGGGAAGAAUCCCGGAACGAGGAGGAGGAGGAUGACAAUGACUUGAGGGUUUCCAUGAGUCUUUCAAGUGAAUCGGAGGAUUCCCAAAAGGGGGCGCCCCUGGUCAGGUCAAGGGGCGUCACAGGGGGGACUCAUCAGGAGCAGGGGAGCAGCAGGGGAACCCCGAGUGGGAGUUGGAGAUCGGGGCCGGCUUCCCCGCCGGAACGGAGUGAAGAGGGUGGAGUUCCCAGUGUGACAGACGAAGCAGAGCAGGAAGCAGAGGGGGGAAGGAGAUCGGGGCAAGACGUCCUGCCGGAAGGGGCGGAGAGUAGUACAGAGAGUAGUGUAACUGUCAAAAGGAAGGUCAGAGGUAGCGAACGCGCGCCAAGUUCAAAUGUGGAGGCGCGUGGAAAUGCGGAGAGCCCGGAGGAGGAGCCUGGUCCCAAAGCACGGAGGAGGGGGGAGCAGGCGUCUGGGGACUCAGCGUCAGGGGAAAGCAGGAGGGAAGGAACCCAGGGGGGCAGAAAGACCCUGCGGAAAAGGAAGGACAGGAAGAGGUGGACCAGCACAAGCCUCUUAAACUGGUGUGGAGGCGGGACUGAUUCAGAGGGGACUUCAGCGGUCUAAGCGUAACAGACGUGGGGCUGCGCGCCUCGGCUGUGGAGCGUACAAUGUACUUCAAUAAAGACUUUUGUAAAUAAAGAGGACUUGGCGUUGGUCUCUUGUGAGCUGGGACCUGAGGCGGCCCUGACAUAUAUAUACACCGUAUUUUUCUGCGUAUAAGAUGCUUUUUGCUAAAAAAAAAUUAGGCAAAAAUUGGGUGUCAUCUUAUACACAGGUAGUGAAUAUGGGGGGGGGUGUGUGAUUAAUGGCAGCAGCAAGCAGGAGAUUAGCAGCGG
rnacentral:lncRNA from 1 species